GCCCUCUGCCUGUAACUUGCUAUGGCCACUUACGCUGCGUUUACUGAAGUCAGUUCCCCGCUACCUCUAGAAUCAUCACACAGAUCUGGCAACCUCAAAUAAAUUAAGAUUUCUUGGCUUGAUGCACUAUAGCAGCCCCUAUUUAAACACUGGACUUGAGCAACUCUGGACACACUAACGGGGCCAAGGCCUUCAUGCUUCAAAUAACCCUGCAUCAAAGCAACCCAGCUAGAAGAGGGGGAUCAUGCUUUAUUUCCCACGAUAGGAUUAUGUUCGGAUUUAAUGUUGAUGCAUCAGUUAAGUGCUCACUUUGAAAAUCAAUACCACACUGUGUGCUUGGCUGGUUCAAUACCCCUCAGUCAACAUUAAUAAAAAACACUAACAAAACAA